CGCGGGAGUGAAAGAUGUCUGCUGUGUCAAACGACACAGAGGAAAGUCCGGACACCAUGGGCAGGAUACUUCCUAACGGGAAGCUGCAGCAAUGCAGAGCCAGCUCCACAGAAACAAACCGCGCGGCGUCUGUAUGGUGCCGCGUAAGGGUGAAAUGGUGGUGUAAGAGACCACCGGUGCCAUUGGUGACAGUGGCAGCCGGGAAUGCCUUAUCCGGUGCAAUGCCAAAUAGGGAAGCUAUGGUGCGCCCACACCGCUUCCGGGUAGGCAGCUAGAGCCAAAGCGCGAGCUUGGGCCCAGAUGGAUAGACAUCGGUCCCCUUGUGGGAUUACAGAAUCCGGCUUACUGAACUCCCGCGAUGA
rnacentral:RNase_P_RNA from 2 species